rnacentral:rRNA from 1 species
UACGUAGGGGGCAAGCGUUGUCCGGAAUCAUUGGGCGUAAAGAGCGUGUAGGCGGCCAGAUAAGUCCGCUGUGAAAUCUCGAGGCUCAACUUCGAGCUGUCGGUGGAAACCAUCUGGCUAGAGUCCGGAAGAGGAGAGCGGAAUUCCUGGUGUAGCGGUGAAAUGCGCAGAUAUCAGGAGGAACACCGGUGGCGAAGGCGGGUCUCUGGGCCGAUACUGACGCUGAGGAGCGAAAGCGUGGGGAGCGAACAGG